rnacentral:rRNA from 1 species
CUGCUGCCUUCCGUAGGAGUCUGGGCCGUAUCUCAGUCCCAAUGUGGCCGGCCAACCUCUCAGUCCGGCUACUGAUCGUCGCCUUGGUAGGCCGUUACCCUACCAACUAGCUAAUCAGACGCGAGGCCAUCUUUCAGCGAUAAAUCUUUGAUAUCAUUGCCAUGCGACAACAAUAUAUUAUGCGGUAUUAGCAGUCGUUUCCAACUGUUGUCCCCCUCUGAAAGGCAGGUUCCUCACGCGUUA